AUGGGCAUCCGCACCAAGAUGGAACCAGAGCAGGACACACGCCUGUCCUCAGCUCUCCAUCUGGUCUCCGUGCUCCCACAACAGCCCUGGGGACACAGGCAGCCCCACACAGCCAUGGAAAUGGCUGGCAGAGCAGCAACCCGAUGGACAGCCCAACACCAAUGGCUCCAGAUGCCCAAAAGUGAUGGAGCUCAGCCCUCCAAACUGCUGUUCACGCGCUACAAAGAAGGUGCUGGCACCACACCACCUGAUUGCAGUGGCCGUGUCAACAUGGCACUGGUGACCCAAACGGCCAAGGAAACCAUUUUCAGAGCAGCAACCCGAUGGGCAUCCGCACCAAGAUGGAACCAGAGCAGGACACACGCCUGUCCUCAGCUCUCCAUCUGGUCUCCGUGCCCCCAGGACAGCCCUGGGGACACAGGCAGCCCCACACAGCCAUGGAAAUGGCUGGCAGAGCAGCAACCCGGUGAGCAGGGCUGUGCAGGGGAGUUCAGCACAGGGCAGCAGGGCAGGAGGCUGCUCCUUCCUUCCUUCCUCUCCCUCUGCCUUGCAGAAGGACAGCCCAACAGCCUGCCAGCACCUUCAGUGCUGCACACAUCAGCGCCUCCAGGAACCACAAGGAUGGUGUGA
rnacentral:lncRNA from 1 species